CCUACGGGAGGCUGCAGUGAGGAAUAUUGGUCAAUGGGCGCGAGCCUGAACCAGCCACGUAGCGUGAAGGAUGACUGCCCUCUGGGUUGUAAACUUCUUUUAUAAAGGAAUAAAACGAGGCACGUGUUCCUUUUUGCAUGUACUUUAUGAAUAAGGAUCGGCUAACUCAGUGCCAGCAGCCGCGGUAAUACGGAGGAUCCGAGCGUUAUCCGGAUUUAUUGGGUGUAAAGGGAGCGUAGAUGGGUUGUUAAGUCAAGUGUGAAAGUUUGCGGCUCAACCGUAAAAUUGCAAUUGAUACUGGCAAUCUGGAGUACAGUUGAGGUAGGCGGAAUUCGUGGUGUAGCGGUGAAAUGCGUAGAUAUCACGAAGAACCCCGAUGGCGAAGGCAGCUUACUAAACUGUGACUGACAUUGAGGCGCGAAAGUGUGGGUAUCAAACAGGAUUAGAUACCCGAGUAGUC
rnacentral:rRNA from 1 species